AUGGCCGCCUCCAGCGACCUCCUCGACGUCGACCCGCCCGAGCUCCAGUUCCCCUUCGAGCUCGACAAGCAGAUCUCCUGCCCCCUCAAGAUGAUCAACAAGACCGACAGAACCGUCGCCUUUAAGGUUAAGACGACGAGCCCCAAGAAGUACUGCGUGCGCCCCAACAAUGGCGUCGUGCGGCCACGGUCCACCUGCGAAGUUGUAGUGACGAUGCAAGCCCAGACUGUUGCACCGCCGGACUUGCAGUGCAAGGACAAAUUCUUGGUGCAAAGCGUGGUCGUCGCCGAUGGCUUAUCGGCCAAGGACAUCACCCCUCAAAUGUUCAUGAAACAAGAGGGUAACGUUGUCGAGGAGGUGAGGAUGAGGGUCACUUAUGUGAUGCCACCCGAAUCGCCGUCGGAGAUUGCGGAGGAAAGCGAUGGGCCACAGCGUAUCUUGGCGCCUAUGCAGCGAAUUGUGAAUAAUGGGAGGAGCGCUUCGGAGCUGUCGAGUGGCUCGGUGUCCUUGAGAUCAGCUGAGCUGGGGACAGAGGUCGGAUCACCUACUGGACCCGUUGUAAGGACUGAAGAAUUACUGAAGGCUGCAGGACAUGCUGCUGAAACAAGAACAUAUACAGGGCCUGAUGCACAGUCCCUUGAGCUGUUGGCUUUAAUUACAAAAUUGACAAAGGAAAAGGAUUCUGCCCUUGAGCAAAAUAAGAAGCUUCACAAUGAGUUGGAGCUAGUAAGGCGUGAUGCCAGUAAACAAGGAGGAUUCUCGCUGAUAUUUGUACUGGUGUGUGGGCUGCUUAGCAUCAUUCUGGGCUAUCUUGUAAAGAAAUGA
rnacentral:rRNA from 1 species